rnacentral:lncRNA from 1 species
GAUAAAUCUGGAAAGUAUAGAAUGUUUGGAAGAUGAGGCCUCAGUGAUUUCAAAGAAGAUGUGUAUUUAAGCAGUAAUCCUAUGAUGCUUGAUUAAGCUGGAGGAGGGGUAGGGAUUCAAGAGUGGGAUAUUAAAGCCUGAGUUUCCUUCAGCAAAGCAGUGUGGAGUGCGCAAGGUCAAGGGUGUGGGUGUUGCUGAAAUGGCAUGAAGGCUUGGUUAGGGGAAAGAACGCUGAGCCUAGGGUGUUAGGUUAUUUGUCCAGUGUUAAGGUAGCUAGUAUGAUUGCAGGAGUUGGGGUGAAGAGAGAGAUUGCAAAACAGAUAUUUCAACUGUAGUAUCAAGUAGGAGAAGAGCAUGACAUAACCAGACAUAUUGUACCUUCACAUUUUGAGUCUUAAGUUUGAAAGUAGAAGGGUGACAACCUGCAAGUGACAGGGUGCUACAAAGGGCUAGUGCUGCCUCUGGACCUGUGGAAGAUGGAGGUGGAGAAUUAACCUCCUACCAGCAGGGGCAUAAUUCCAGUGGUAUCCUCUUAAGGUAGCCAGGUUUCAGUUAGGCAGUAAGUGGAGGGUUAGUGAAAAGACUGAGAAUGGGAGGGUUUGUUGAAUCCUGGAACAAAGGUUUCAGGUGGUGUGACAGAAUGAGGGGAAAGAAAUUUGCAACAAGAGAAUGAAUCAGAGUGAGGUUAGGUGUAGGAGAAAAUGGAUGGUAGGAUUGAUUCAGGUUUAGAAGUUGAUAGUUAGAUGGAAGGGUCAAAAGGCAAGGGAUUAAGAGUGUUGAAAGAAAUAUAAGCAAUCAAUUAUGGGAUCCAAAUUGCAUACGGAUGGCAACCAGGCCAGGGAAAUUUUUUAAAAAUCCAAAACAAAGAGUGAGAAAAUACAGAGCAGAUUGGGAACUGAAAGAGAAUAGUUGACCAGGACUUCCAUUUUCAUCUUCUCCUGUGGAUUGUGGGGAUGAAAUACAUAGGUAGAACUCAGAGGCCUGAGGAUGUCCAAUAUGGACAUGAAAUAGUUUAUAUCAAAGGUCCCAGAGAUACAAGGCACCUCUCUCACCCCUCUACUUAGGGACUCAAUCCUCAUCACCAUCUGCCUAUUAGCUCUCAUUUCAGAAAAAUAGUAUUCCUACUAUUCCCUGACAUUCCUAUAUCUUUGACCCAAUCCACAUCUUAUUUCCUUCUCCUUGUUUUGCUAUGCAAUUCUGAUCUAAAUUUCAUGAAAAAAUAAUCUAUAAUUCCUAUCUCUUAAGCAUUCCUUUUCUCCCUUUUAACUCUUACUCUGAGUCCUGUUGUACCAUUUGACUCAAAUUUUUUUUUCUAAUAUCAUCACUCAUCUCCAGUUGACACCACUAAUCAAUAUUUUCUCAUUCGUACCUUUGUGCUCUGCUCAGAACUCGAUCAUUACCUAUUUCUUGAACCUUGAGUAUUUUGGUUUCAUGAACCAUAUUCUCUACUUUUACCUCCCAUUUCUUUAUUUCCUUUACUAAAUUCUCUGAGGGUAAUACUUCUCCCCAUUUUUUAAAAUCAACUUUAUUUUAAAAGCAAGUACAUAGUUUCCAUAUACCUCCUGUGCUCCUACUCAAAGAGCCUUCCCCACCAUGGUCAUCCUGCAUUUGUUACACUGGCAUACUUGUUACAUUCAGCAAUCCAUACUGACACCUCAUUGUUCCCUAAAUUGCGUAGUUUCCAUUUAGGAUCAAUCUUGGUGUUAGGUAUUGUAUGAGUCUUGACAAAUGUAUAAUGACAUGUAUCCACCAUUGUAUUAUAAUAGUGAAUAAUUUCACCACCUUAAAAAUCCUCCUUAGGUUUCCUAUUUUCCCUGUCUCCCCAACCACUAAUCUUUUUACUUUCUCCAUAAUUUUGCUUUUUUUUUUUUCAGAAUAUUAUGUAGUUAGAAUCGAACAGUAUGGAGCCCUUUCACAUUGGUGUCUUUCACUUAGUAAUAUGCAUCUAAGCUUCCUCCAUGUCUUUUCAUGGCUUCCUAACUUUUUUUUAGUGCUUAAUAGUAUUCUGUUAUCUAGAAUUCAAUUCAUUUGUUUUCAUCAGAACAUCUUGAUUGCUUCCAAGUUUGUGAAGUUAUGAAUAAAGAUGCUAUAAACAUGUAUAGUUAGGGUUUUAUGUGGAUAUGUUUUCAAUUCACUGGAUUAAAUACCAGAGAACAUGAGUGCUGAACCACAUGGGAAAGGUGAAUGGUACACAGGAGGCCAGUCAUUAGUAUUCUGCUUUGUAAAUAGGUAACUUAAGGUCAAAAAAGUUAAAUGACUUACCCAAGGAUUACACAGUAAUAAGUGAUAGAGCAG